rnacentral:lncRNA from 1 species
CCCCCAACCUCGACUGACCAAAAUUGAAGCUACCAAUUCUGGCUUUCUUAUUCUCUCUUUCUCUUUCCUUAAAAUUCUGCUCCUUAAUCUAUUGAGCAUGGACCAUCAACCUAGACACAUCCAUCUCCUUAAUCAACAUCUCAGUCCUACACUCCUUGACCACGCUAUCAGCUACACUAGAGACAAACUUACUCAUCCUAGACUUGUCAUCUGAAAACACAUUAGGAGCAUACCUGGCU